CCUACGGGUGGCAGCAGUGAGGAAUAUUGGUCAAUGGACGAGAGUCUGAACCAGCCAAGUAGCGUGAAGGAUGACUGCCCUAUGGGUUGUAAACUUCUUUUAUAUGGGAAUAAAACGUUCCACGUGUGGGAUUUUGUAUGUACCAUAUGAAUAAGGAUCGGCUAACUCCGUGCCAGCAGCCGCGGUAAUACGGAGGAUCCGAGCGUUAUCUGGAUUUAUUGGGUUUAAAGGGAGCGUAGGUGGAUUGUUAAGUCAGUUGUGAAAGUUUGCGGCUCAACCGUAAAAUUGCAGUUGAAACGGGCAGUCUUGAGGACAGUAGAGGUGGGCGGAAUUCGUGGUGUAGCGGUGAAAUGCUUAGAUAUCACGAAGAACUCCGAUGGCGAAGGCAGUUCACUGGACUGCAACUGACACUGAGGCUCGAAAGUGUGGGUAUCAAACAGGAUUAGAUACCCGAGUAGUC
rnacentral:rRNA from 1 species